AUUUAGCUAUACAGAGAAAAGAUAGAAACACAGGAUCACAUAAACAUGAUGUGCACAACAUCAAACUAGUUAGAUCUUUUCUUCAAGAAAUGUGUCUGUUUUUAUAGAAUGAAUGCUUUUGGAGAGAUUUGAAAGGGCAGGUACAAUCUCACAGUUUUUUCAUAGACACACAUAUCUCACCUCAUCUGUCUUGUUGUCCCGAAAUAUUCAUAGCAAUUAGAUCAUGGCUUCAGGUCAUCAAAUGAUCAAAUGGUUGGGAUUGUUUUGAGGUAGAACGACAAAGGGUUUCUUCGUCCAUCAAAGUAGGGAUAUGAUAUGUGUGAAAAGGACUACAAUUCAAGCAAUGAUGUAUUUGUCUAUCAAUAUGUAGGAAACAAUAGAAAGAACCACAGGAAGAAGAUACAUCAACUUGUUGUUAUGCACUAGGUCAAACUUGUUGGAUCCUUCUUCAACAAUGGUCUCCAAUUUAGGAACAUUGGAUGAAGGUUUUUGGGGAGAGAAGAGAGGAGAUGGAAACUCAAGAAUGACUGUGUAUUUAAUAAUGGGCAGCCUUCUUGUGUUGAGUUGGGUGAAGUAGUGAAGGUUAGGGUGGCUGUGUGAUCUCAUUAAAAUGAGAAUGGCUAUUUGGUAUCCUUGUGUGUGAUACAGAUCAGCCACAGCAGCGAGCCAUAGCCAAGGCCACAGCAGUCAAGGCAGUGAAAACUAGAUAGCUGCAGCCAAGGCCACAGUGAUAAGGCAGAGCAGUUAAGGCCACAGUCUAGCAACCAAGGCCACACCUUAGCAGCUAGCAGCCAUAGCGAAGGCUGCAGCUCAGAACAGACAGAGCUGCUAAUGCUACAGUAGCUGCAGCCUCAGCUGCAGCCCUCUCUCAUCAGCUGAAGUCUCUCUCUCAUUUCAAGAACGUGUGAAUUGCAAAGCAAGUGGCAAAUUAGCUGUUAGUUUGUUAAAGGUUAACUAUAUGGUUUAGUUAGACAGUUAUAGUCAAGUUAGGUAGUUAUGGUUAUGGUUCAUUGUUUUUCCCUCAACAAUUUUAGCUUCUUUUUUCUAUUGACAAAUUCGCAGCUGGGGUUCUUCUCUCUCUUUGCCCUAUAAAUUGCAAUUUAUGUGCCCUAAUUGAUUUUUCCUUGCCAAAUGCAUUUUUGUUCUUUCCAGAUUUCUAUUUUAGUGUCAAUUCCUCUAUUAGUUUCAUCCACUAGAUCUGUCAAUUCAGUUCUGGAUUGAAAAUCUGGAAAAUAUUUCAGAAAUGAAAUGACAUUUUAAAAACUGCAUUUUUUCACUUAAAUUAAUGAAACUAAUGGAAGCCACUUUAGUUAUGAUUUUGUUAGCUUUCUGCAACAAAUUAAGCAAUCAAUGAUCAUAUUGAGAAUUCUUAGCAAUAAGAAUUAGUCCCUUGAGGUAAUGGACAUUGCUUGUACCUGUCAUCGUAUUCUUGUUCCAACAACCUUUACUGGUUUUUCUUUUGUGUCUCAAAAGGAAGAAGGAAAGAGAAAACUUUCACUACUCUUAUCUAUUUUUUGAUGUUGAACUUCUUGAGUUCUGAAUCCUUGUAUUUGUUUUGUUGCUACUAGUUUCAUUGAUGUCUUUUAAUCUUGUACCUCUGUUGUGGUGUUGAUGGAAGCAACAGACCUGGAGAUGGUGAAUUUUGUUAGAAUUUUUGUGUUCUUGACUGACCUUUUUGCCCUUGUAUUGCCAGCUAGUUUUGUAGACUUAGUUUCAGCACUUCUAAUAAAACAUAAAUUCUUCUUGAUAUGGAUUGACUGAAUUAAGGCCCUAAAAUUUCAUUUCAUCGUGUAAUAUUUUUUAGCCGAUCUUUCAAAGGUAUCCACGGCCUGAGAAGGAGUACCAGUCCUCUCUUAUAUAGAAUGACAGGUCACUAGAUUUGAUUUGUAAAGAUAAAGAUGAAGCUGAGCAAUGGUUUAUUUGUUUAAAAGCAUUAAUUUCGCGUGGUCAUCAACGGAAGUGGAGAACAGAAUCAAGGAGUGAUGGUAUUCCAUCUGAAGCUAAUAGUCCCCGAACAUACACUCGAAGAAGUUCUCCUUUGAACUCUUCAUUUGGUAGCGGUGAUAGCUUGUAGAAGGGAGGAGUUUCACAACCCCCGAGAAUCCCAUCUCAACCUCACACACAGCAGGGGUCCUCUUUUACACUUCAGCUGUUUCAACGCACUCUUGAAGAAACUCUUGGUGCCUUCCAGAAAUCCAUUCAUGAAGAUAUGAGGAACCUCCAUAUUGAAAUUUUAAGGCAGUUUCAUAUGCAGGAGGUAUAUAUAUAUAUAUAUUUAACCCAUGGUUUUGAGGGAGUAUUAAUCUGUCCGCACAACUAAUCCCCUUAUUGGUGAAUCAAAUGUGAGACAUUACAAAAUUAGGAGACAAAUCCUAAACAUAUGGGGUCUUAUGUUUUUUAGUUUAAUACCCUAAUCCUGACACAAUCAUGUCGAAAAGGGUAGAAUAUGUAUAUGUUUAUCUUUCAUCUUCAAUGUUGAUAUGUACAAGAUGUUUUGAAGCUUUAAGUUUUCAGCCCUUGAACUACUUAUCAAGUUUUUAUAUUGUUCAUCC